rnacentral:rRNA from 1 species
GACGAACGCUGGCGGCGUGCUUAACACAUGCAAGUCGAACGGAAAGGCCCCUUUGGGGGUACUCGAGUGGCGAACGGGUGCGUAACACGUGCGUAACCUUCCCUUGACUUCGGGAUAACUUCAGGAAACUGGGGCUAAUACCGGUUAGGAAUCCUUGCUGCAUGGUGGGGGUUGGAAAGCUUCGGCGGUUUUUGAUGUACUCGCGGCUUAUCAGCUUGUUGGUGGGGUAGUGGCUUACCAAGGCUUUGACGGGUAGCCGGCCUGAGAGGGCGACCGGCCACAUUGGGACUGAGAGAAGGCCCAGACACCUACGGGAGGGAGAAGGGGGGAAGAUUGCACAAGGGGCGGAAGGCGGAUGAAGCAAGGCCGCGGGCGGGAUGACGGCCUUCGGGGUGGAAACCGAUUUCAGCAGGGGCGAAGCUUGUGGUGACGGUACCUGCAGAAGAAGCAACGGCUAACUACGUG